rnacentral:tRNA from 2 species
AGGGUUAUAACUUAAGGGUAAAGUAUUUGGUCGAUAACUAAGAAAUAAUGGUUCGAAUCCAUUUAACCCUA